CUUACACAAUGUAGUAAACAGCAAAAAAGGCACUGAGCCACUGACAGUUUUACAAACAAGAGUCGGAGUGGGAACUGUUGUUGUGGUACGGGGAACAGCAUCCAAAUGGGAUCCUGAAGUGGGGGAACGUUCCCAGAAACAAGAAAUCAUUAGACACAUUGGACUAACAGGGACGUGGAAAAUGUUGUAGUUGACACGACUUCACAAGUAAACAGCGACAAGAGCAGUUAAAAGGUGCACUCGGAACAAACCGGACUCGUUUGGCCGCGCGCUCACAGAUCAAUGUUGAUGUUUGCGCUGUGGUAACAGCCAUGGCAGCCUGUGUUUGUCUUCUGGGCUACAAAGGUGCGUGUGUCUCUGAGUCGAUAUCCCACGAGGACAGCAGACAAACCCGGUCUGGAGCCUCGGCGUGCAGGACGCUGUACGCACUGGCCCCGUUUGAAACUUGGCUUGAACACGGCUUUCCCUCUCGGUUCCUGUUAUUAGCCGUCUCAAAAUACUGUUGUCGGAGGCCGAAUGAGCCUGAAAACUCUGUACGACAUUUUCUGUACAAGCUGAAACAAUUUGGGUGAUUUCCCAGGAGAUAUUCUGUAUUUGUGUUCCCUUUUCACUUCCCUUGCACUUUGUAUGAGUUUCUGAGCGUUACACUCUUGACACCUGCAAAUGUUUUUUUUCCCCCUAAACUGAACUUUGAUUGUUGUUCUUUAAACAUUAUAAGCCUUUUCUUGUUGCAGUAGUUCUGCUGAACCAGGCUCCAACAGCAGUUAUAGGUAAUGGACAGAUGGAUGGACACGAGGGUUGUCAUUCAUCCUGGUUUUCCCGGGAUUGUUCCUUUAUUAUUCUUUCCCGGGACAUGAAUUGUCCUGAUUUUGUAACAAAUUUACUUUUUAAUUUAAUAGUUUCAAAUAAAAAAUAUCAUUUGUUUGCUUCUACUGCUUUUCUGCUUUAUUCCUGG